rnacentral:rRNA from 1 species
GUAGGUGGCAAGCGUUGUCCGGAAUUAUUGGGCGUAAAGCGCGCGCAGGCGGUCCUUUAAGUCUGAUGUGAAAGCCCACGGCUCAACCGUGGAGGGUCAUUGGAAACUGGGGGACUUGAGUACAGAAGAGGAAAGCGGAAUUCCAAGUGUAGCGGUGAAAUGCGUAGAGAUUUGGAGGAACACCAGUGGCGAAGGCGGCUUUCUGGUCUGUAACUGACGCUGAGGCGCGAAAGCGUGGGGAGCAAACAGGGGAUUAGAUACCCUGGUAGUCCACGCCGUAAACGAUGAGUGCUAAGUGUUAGGGGGUUUCCCGCCCCUUAGUGCUGCAGCUAACGCAUUAAGCACUCCGCCUGGGGAUACGGCCGCAAGGCUG